rnacentral:lncRNA from 1 species
CAAUCAGUUUGUAACUCCAACAUGCUCCUAGGAUGGCUGACCCAUAGUUCACAGCGGGGCAUGAAUAGAGAUGAGGACUUCUGAAUUAGUGUCAUGCUCAUGCACUCACUCAUAUUUACUCUCAACAUAACACCCUGUGUUGGUUUCAAGUUGGCUUCAAAAACCAGCAUUUCCAGGGAAGACAUGCUAAGUUGCCACCCUCUCCAACUACGAAUCUAUAGACAAGAUUCUUCCCAGCUCCAGCCACCUGUAGGUUCUGCUAAGAAGACCAAUACCCUACAUAAGAAGAGAUACUAUGUGAUAUGGAAUUAAGAGCCAUCAGAACUCAACAAUUCUGACUGCACAAUUAUUAAUGCACACUCUUCUGCCUACCUAGUGCAUAGGCUAGGGGAUAUUCAAAGAGGUCCUUAAGUUGUUGUCCUUAGCGGUCCUCCAGGCACUAUAAAGAUUGAUG